GAUUAAGUUAUUAAGGGCGCACGGUGGAUGCCUUGGCACUAGAAGCCGAUGAAGGACGUUACUAACGACGAUAUGCUUUGGGGAGCUGUAAGUAAGCUUUGAUCCAGAGAUUUCCGAAUGGGGAAACCCAGCAUGAGUUAUGUCAUGUUAUCGAUAUGUGAAUACAUAGCAUAUCAGAAGGCACACCCGGAGAACUGAAACAUCUUAGUACCCGGAGGAAGAGAAAGAAAAUUCGAUUCCCUUAGUAGCGGCGAGCGAAACGGGAAGAGCCCAAACCAAAAAGCUUGCUUGUUGGGGUUGUAGGACGCUCUAUACGGAGUUACAAAGGACGACAUUAGACGAAUCAUCUGGAAAGAUGAAUCAAAGAAGGUAAUAAUCCUGUAGUCGAAAAUGUUGUCUCUCUUGAGUGGAUCCUGAGUACGACGGAGCACGUGAAAUUCCGUCGGAAUCUGGGAGGACCAUCUCCUAAGGCUAAAUACUCUCUAGUGACCGAUAGUGAACCAGUACCGUGAGGGAAAGGUGAAAAGCACCCCGGAAGGGGAGUGAAAUAGAACCUGAAACCGUGUGCUUACAAGUAGUCAGAGCCCGUUAAUGGGUGAUGGCGUGCCUUUUGUAGAAUGAACCGGCGAGUUACGAUUUGAUGCAAGGUUAAGCAGUAAAUGUGGAGCCGUAGCGAAAGCGAGUCUGAAUAGGGCGUUUAGUAUUUGGUCGUAGACCCGAAACCAGGUGAUCUACCCUUGGUCAGGUUGAAGUUCAGGUAACACUGAAUGGAGGACCGAACCGACUUACGUUGAAAAGUGAGCGGAUGAACUGAGGGUAGCGGAGAAAUUCCAAUCGAACCUGGAGAUAGCUGGUUCUCUCCGAAAUAGCUUUAGGGCUAGCCUCAAGUGAUGAUUAUUGGAGGUAGAGCACUGUUUGGACGAGGGGCCCCUCUCGGGUUACCGAAUUCAGACAAACUCCGAAUGCCAAUUAAUUUAACUUGGGAGUCAGAACAUGGGUGAUAAGGUCCGUGUUCGAAAGGGAAACAGCCCAGACCACCAGCUAAGGUCCCAAAAUAUAUGUUAAGUGGAAAAGGAUGUGGCGUUGCCCAGACAACUAGGAUGUUGGCUUAGAAGCAGCCAUCAUUUAAAGAGUGCGUAAUAGCUCACUAGUCGAGUGACACUGCGCCGAAAAUGUACCGGGGCUAAACAUAUUACCGAAGCUGUGGAUUGUCCUUUGGACAAUGGUAGGAGAGCGUUCUAAGGGCGUUGAAGCAUGAUCGUAAGGACAUGUGGAGCGCUUAGAAGUGAGAAUGCCGGUGUGAGUAGCGAAAGACGGGUGAGAAUCCCGUCCACCGAUUGACUAAGGUUUCCAGAGGAAGGCUCGUCCGCUCUGGGUUAGUCGGGUCCUAAGCUGAGGCCGACAGGCGUAGGCGAUGGAUAACAGGUUGAUAUUCCUGUACCACCUAUAAUCGUUUUAAUCGAUGGGGGGACGCAGUAGGAUAGGCGAAGCGUGCGAUUGGAUUGCACGUCUAAGCAGUAAGGCUGAGUAUUAGGCAAAUCCGGUACUCGUUAAGGCUGAGCUGUGAUGGGGAGAAGACAUUGAGUCUUCGAGUCGUUGAUUUCACACUGCCGAGAAAAGCCUCUAGAUAGAAAAUAGGUGCCCGUACCGCAAACCGACACAGGUAGUCAAGAUGAGAAUUCUAAGGUGAGCGAGCGAACUCUCGUUAAGGAACUCGGCAAAAUGACCCCGUAACUUCGGGAGAAGGGGUGCUCUUUAGGGUUAACGCCCAGAAGAGCCGCAGUGAAUAGGCCCAAGCGACUGUUUAUCAAAAACACAGGUCUCUGCUAAACCGUAAGGUGAUGUAUAGGGGCUGACGCCUGCCCGGUGCUGGAAGGUUAAGAGGAGUGGUUAGCUUCUGCGAAGCUACGAAUCGAAGCCCCAGUAAACGGCGGCCGUAACUAUAACGGUCCUAAGGUAGCGAAAUUCCUUGUCGGGUAAGUUCCGACCCGCACGAAAGGCGUAACGAUUUGGGCACUGUCUCAACGAGAGACUCGGUGAAAUCAUAGUACCUGUGAAGAUGCAGGUUACCCGCGACAGGACGGAAAGACCCCGUGGAGCUUUACUGUAGCCUGAUAUUGAAAUUCGGCACAGCUUGUACAGGAUAGGUAGGAGCCUUUGAAACGUGAGCGCUAGCUUACGUGGAGGCGCUGGUGGGAUACUACCCUAGCUGUGUUGGCUUUCUAACCCGCACCACUUAUCGUGGUGGGAGACAGUGUCAGGCGGGCAGUUUGACUGGGGCGGUCGCCUCCUAAAAGGUAACGGAGGCGCUCAAAGGUUCCCUCAGAAUGGUUGGAAAUCAUUCAUAGAGUGUAAAGGCAUAAGGGAGCUUGACUGCGAGACCUACAAGUCGAGCAGGGUCGAAAGACGGACUUAGUGAUCCGGUGGUUCCGCAUGGAAGGGCCAUCGCUCAACGGAUAAAAGCUACCCCGGGGAUAACAGGCUUAUCUCCCCCAAGAGUUCACAUCGACGGGGAGGUUUGGCACCUCGAUGUCGGCUCAUCGCAUCCUGGGGCUGUAGUCGGUCCCAAGGGUUGGGCUGUUCGCCCAUUAAAGCGGUACGCGAGCUGGGUUCAGAACGUCGUGAGACAGUUCGGUCCCUAUCCGUCGUGGGCGUAGGAAAUUUGAGAGGAGCUGUCCUUAGUACGAGAGGACCGGGAUGGACAUACCUCUGGUGUACCAGUUGUCGUGCCAACGGCAUAGCUGGGUAGCUAUGUGUGGACGGGAUAAGUGCUGAAAGCAUCUAAGCAUGAAGCCCCCCUCAAGAUGAGAUUUCCCAACUUCGGUUAUAAGAUCCCUCAAAGAUGAUGAGGUUAAUAGGUUCGAGGUGGAAGCAUGGUGACAUGUGGAGCUGACGAAUACUAAUCGAUCGAAGACUUAAUCAA
rnacentral:rRNA from 1 species